rnacentral:rRNA from 1 species
GAUGAACGCUGGCGGCGUGCCUAAUACAUGCAAGUCGAGCGAAUGGAUUAAGAGCUUGCUCUUAUGAAGUUAGCGGCGGACGGGUGAGUAACACGUGGGUAACCUGCCCAUAAGACUGGGAUAACUCCGGGAAACCGGGGCUAAUACCGGAUAACAUUUUGAACCGCAUGGUUCGAAAUUGAAAGGCGGCUUCGGCUGUCACUUAUGGAUGGACCCGCGUCGCAUUAGCUAGUUGGUGAGGUAACGGCUCACCAAGGCAACGAUGCGUAGCCGACCUGAGAGGGUGAUCGGCCACACUGAGACUGAGACACGGCCCAUACUCCUACGGGAGGGAGCAGUAGGGAAUCUUCCGCAAUGGACGAAAGUCUGACGGAGCAACGCCGCGUGAGUGAUGAAGGCUUUCGGGUCGUAAACUCUGUUGUUAGGGAAGAACAAGUGCUAGUUGAAUAAGCUGGCACCUUGACGGUACCUAACCAGAAAGCCACGGCUAACUACGUGCCAGCCGCCGCGGUAA